GGGACAGCAUGAUUUGUGUUAACCCGAGGGCAGCUGCCCUCAGAGCCAUGUCGCAGAGGCUACAUAGAAGGUCAUACCGUGUUCCUGGACCAAACUCGUUAUGGCACCUUGAUGGAAACCACAAACUGAUAAGGUAGAUGUAUCUUUGUGAUAGAUACAAUUAUCUAUAUCACUGGUGAGAAGUUGUACAUUGUAACAUCUCAAAUUGUUCAUCAACUUGUUCAUCAACAACUAACAGUUCAGUUUAGCAAGCAAUGGCCCAAUAUGUCAAUCAUGUCGAUAAUAAUUGUUCUUAUUGUGUUUCUGCUACUUCUGUAAUCGAUAGAAUAUCUGCAUCAUGAAAUUAACAAACAUGCUUAUAUUGAGGACAUACUGAGGCAAAAACGGUUGGAACAAAGUAUUUGUGUCUAAGGGUGAACAACAGGAGAGUCUGUCCUCUUGACCCAUUAACUUGACUCAUUAACAUUGUUCCACAGUUUGGAUGUUAAUUUAAUGCAUGGUCUGCUGCUUUGUUAUAUACUGCAGGAACCUGAUGGAGCAUGUAAGUGGUAAAGGAGGAUGGUGAUGUUUGUAUAUUUCAUGUGUUCAGAUUUUGUAUCAACCCGGGCUGUGUUUUCUGAUUUAGGUGGAGGAUAGUCAUGCAUGGUGGCAUUGAUGGGUUGCAGCCGCCGUGUUUCUCCGUGCUUCCAGCAACAAUGGCAGCAGUACUGUAUUGGAUUGCUUCAUGAAUGCUGUCUCCAGAUAUGGCGUUCCCUCCAGAGUUAGAACGGACCAUGGAGGGGAAAACAACACUGUCUGCUUGUUGAAUACUACUUCUACAAACGAGGCUACACUUGUGGCAGCACCUAUUCCUGUGGCACCCCAUCUUCUGCACUUCUUGUGGCCCCCCUCCACCUAUACCACUUUCUGUGGCCCCUCCACCAUUCCCCAAGGCUUAUCGUCCACCUUCACCACACUUUUCUGUUGGUGUUGGUGAUGACAAUGAUGUUGACCUCCAAACACUGCUGAAGUUAAUGAGAUGCCAACCAAAUGAAUGUGAUGAUGGACAACGUUUAUGAUUGUGCAAUGAGAGGCUUUAAGAGAGCCCGCUUUAAUCCAGAGCCAAAAGUAUACAUGGUUUUUAGGGAUGCUGAUGGAAAAGGGGCAGCUGAUGAGGGUGGUCCCUCAAGAGAAUUUCUCUGGCUGCUAAUGAGUGCCAUCCAUUCCUCUGCAAUAUUUGAGGGACCUGAUUGACAAAAAUGCCUUUCUUGCAACUCUCAAGCAACAUGGGGGUGCAGAGCCACAUUUUUUCAGAGAGGCUAUACAGGCAAGUGUGUGGCCUACAACCUCCUGUGCCAGAACUGAAAGAAAUUGCAGAAUACACUUUACACUGUGAUGGAUGUUAUGUUACUGUUAAUUUGCACUAAGUUUGAACAAAAAUGUGGGUUGUAGUUCAUGAGAACUUUUCCACAUGGAUUUGGUUUAUUUUUGUUGGCAGUCGAUCUUUAAGGGUAGUGAUAAUCAGUUUAUUGUUAUGCUAAUAUUUCCCAAAACACAGUUCAAUAAACAAUCUAAGAUCCAGUUAGCACAAACUGUUGACGAGGCACAGGAAGUGAUCAUGUUGGGUCCAGUGCGAUACAUUCGUACAUUGGAGAGGGAUGCCCUGGUGGAGUCAGCCACAAAGUUCUACUUAGAAAGCAGGAUACGGGAUGCUCUUGAGCAAUUCAAAGAGGGUCUGGAGUGUCUAGGUCUCCUGUCUUACAUGAAUAGACACUCAAGCCUCUUCAGAGAGGUUUUCAUCUAUGCUGAGAAACCUCUUUUGGCCAAAGACAUAGCUUCUCUCUUCAAAGCAGAGCGCUCCCCACCUGGGGGGAAUACAUACCCUUUAACCAUGGAGAAUUUUUACUUCAGGGGCUUCAGCAUUCCUAGGCUGGGAUUGCCAGUGGAGCCACAGCUACAGUUCUCUGCCACCGCACGGCAAGCGGUACCGGAGCGCCAAGUCUAGGUCCAAGAGGUUUCGAAACAGAUUCUACCCCCAAGCCAUAAGACUACUGAACAUCUAAUCAUAUGGCUACCCAGAUUAUUUGCUGCUACUCUAUCUAUGCAUAGUCACUUUAAUAUCUCUACCUACAUGUAUAUAUUAACUCGACUAACGAGUGUCCCAGCACAUUCUCUGUACCGGUAUCCCCUGUAUAUAGACUCGCUAUUGUUAUUUUACUGAUGCUCUUUAAUUACUUACUUUUCUUCUUGCAUUGUUGGUUAUGGGCUUGUAAGUAAGCAUUUCACUAUUGUAUUUGGCGCAUGUGACAAAUACAAUUUGAUUUGAUUUAAAUAAUUCAUUUAGGGGGAAUUAUCCAAAACGUUUAUUGCAUGACCAGUAUAUGCAUGACAUUUCUAUGUUCGGAAUACUGCAGCCAAUGUUAAUUGAUGUGUCCCAAAAUAAUUGAUAUUAUGAAAGUUUCCGACAGGAUUGUCCCUCAGCAAAAAAAAGUUGCGUGGUGAAAUUUUCAAAAACAUUACAAACAACCAGAAUCAAUUGGACACAGUAUUACAUAAUGCAGCUUUAAUAUUUAAAUAAAUGUAUGAUUUCUUAGUGGGUAAACUGAGCAUUAUGCAAAGUAGUUAAGU